UAUUGUCGAUCUCCAGUUGGUUCAGAGCAAUGAGGUUGGUGGCAGCUCAUACAUGGAGAAAUAGGGCCUGAAGAGGAGCCUGUCAUUGUUGGGUGCACGUGGUGUAACCGUUGACUGAAUUGUCACCAACCACCACCCAGAAAUUCAGAAAUUCCUGAAGGAGGAAAACAUCACACAAUUCUACGUUGUCUGGCAUUUGAAGAAGGGACUUUCAAAGAAACUAGAUUAAAUACGCAAAACAAUGACUGUCAAAAAGUAAAGAGGUGGAUGACAGCCAUCAGAACCAUGUCUAUUGAACAACUUCAUCAUCCAAAACGGGGCCAGAGAGAGUGGCUGAAUGGACCUCCCUCCUGAACCAUCUUUC